rnacentral:lncRNA from 1 species
AUAGUAUCCAAACACAUAGUAUCAGAGGGGAUAAGUGCUGGAUGGAAAAAUAAUGCAGAGUUAGAUUAGAAUGGUGCCCCAGAGAAUGAUUAGAAGUUGGGGCAAUUUGUUACUUUAUGUAUUGUGAUCAAGGAAGGUGUACCCCUCAUCCCCAUCCCAGUACUGGGGGUUGAACCCAGGGCACUAUACCAUUGAGCUACAUCCUCAGCCCUUUUUAAUUUUUAUUUCGAGACAGGGUCUCCUUAAGUUGUUCAGGCUGGACUGGAACUUGUGAUCCUGCCUCCCAAGUAGCUGGGAUUCCAGGUACACCACUCUGCUCAGCAUGAAGGCUAGUUUUUAAAGAAGAAAUUUCAGUGAAAGAUGAAAGUGGUGGAGAUUUAAGGGGAUAUCUAAGUAUCUGGUGCAGAAUGUGUGAGGCAAAGGAAAGAGAAAGUCAAGAGUCUGAAUCUGUCCUCUGUGCACAAUAUUUGAGGCAGUAUAAGAAGGCCAGGUGUUGUCAGCAUAAGGUCACAGAAGUAGUCAGGGGCAGGUUCAUGUAGGUCUUGUCGAAAAUGAUAAGCCAUUUUGGGUUUUAUCUUGAGUGAGGUAGAAAACCAUUAGAGGGUUUAGAGUGCAGAAAUGAUAUUUAUGUGCCUUAUUUUAUAAGGGUACUGUGAUUU